rnacentral:rRNA from 1 species
CAGCAGCCGCGGUAAUACGAAGGGGGCUAGCGUUGCCCGGAUUUAUUGGGCGUAAAGGGCGCGUAGGCGGUCACGCACGUCCGUUGUGAAAUCGCUCGGCUCAACUGGGCGGGGUCAGCGGAUACGGCGUGGCUGGAGCAAGCUAGGGGGCAAUGGAAUUCCCGGUGUAGUGGUGGAAUGCGUAGAUAUCGGGAGGAACACCAGUGGCGAAGGCGGUUGCCUGGAGCUUUGCUGACGCUGAUGCGCGAAAGCGUGGGGAGCGAUCCGGAUUAGAUACCCGGGUAGUCCACGCCGUAAACGAUGCGGACUAGGUGUCGGGGGUAUCGACCCCCUCGGCGCCGCAGCUAACGCAUUAAGUCCGCCGCCUGGGGACUACGGCCGCAAGGCUAAAACUCAAAGGAAUUGACGG